rnacentral:rRNA from 1 species
UCAGGACGAACGCUGGCGGCGUGCUUAACACAUGCAAGUCGAACGAGACGAUUGAAAGCUUGCUUUUGAGAGUCGAGUGGCAAACGGGUGAGUAACGCGUAGACAACCUGCCGUAAAGAUGGGGACAACAGUUCGAAAGGACUGCUAAUACCGAAUGUUGUCGAACUUCCGCAUGGGAGCUCGACUAAAGAUGGCCUCUACUUGUAAGCUAUCGCUUUACGAUGGGUCUGCGUCUGAUUAGCUAGUUGGUGGGGUAACGGCCUACCAAGGCGACGAUCAGUAGCCGGUCUGAGAGGAUGAACGGCCACAUUGGAACUGAGAUACGGUCCAGACUCCUACGGGAGGCAGCAGUGGGGAAUCUUCCGCAAUGGGCGCAAGCCUGACGGAGCAACGCCGCGUGAGUGAAGAAGGGUUUCGACUCGUAAAGCUCUGUUGUCGUGGACGAAUGUGGAGAUGGUGAAUAACCAUUUUCAAUGACGGUACCUGACGAGGAAGCCACGGCUAACUACGUGCCAGCAGCCGCGGUAAUACGUAGGUGGCGAGCGUUGUCCGGAAUUAUUGGGCGUAAAGGGAGCGCA